CACGUUCAUGCGGAGCGUUAAAAAAAGAUUAAAAAUAUUAAAGCCAUCUUUAGUAGGACAUGAUUAUAUUUUCUGUUCACAUUUUAGUUUUGAGAAGGAAGAAUGAGAAAAUGUAAAUGUAAGCGUGUUGUGAAGCUCGCGAGAGAGGUGACGGUCCUCUGUGCUUAUACACGUCACUUCCUGCGUGAGCUUCACAACGCGCUUCCGUUUACAUCAAGCGUGAACUCGACCCUCACGUGAACGCGCGUGAGACACUUGACCGGAAGCAAUGUUUUAUAGUUAAAGUUUAAAACAUGAGUAUUUUUCUUACACACACUUAUCGUUUGGCUCCAGAAGACACUGAUUCAUCCACUGGGGUCGUAUGGAUUACAUGAUGGCUGUAUGAACUUUCUGGAGCUCAUUCGCUUGUAUUAUAUGGACUUACAGAGAUGGAUAAUUUUUCUAAAAAUCUUCAUUUAUCUUCAUCUGAAGAAAGAAAGUCAUAUACAUCUGGAAUGGUCAUUGCAGAGUUUAAUCGCUUCACAAGCAAAAGCCUCAAGCAAGAUUUCUUCUCAACACUUGAUCAACAUACAGCUCGUUUUCUGGAAAUUUUUGAAUCAAAGAAGGGGCAGUUGGAAAGAAGCUUUCUGAGAUCUUUGAGCAAAUUAAGUCUAUGAGCACUGACAUCACUGCUAAGCACACAGCAGUUCUCCAUGGCCUUCCUCUCAUUCUGGAGAAGAAACCACUGACAUCUUUAAAUAUGGGAAUAUCAACACAAACGAAAAGACAAUAAUGUAUGGAAUAUUAAAAAAAAAAUAGCCAAAAAUAUAAACAUUGGCUUUAAGUAAAAAAUGUGGAAAACAAGGAGCACAAUGAUCAGUAAGCAAUGCCAUCUCCCAGCUGAGACGCUUUUUAAACUAAUCUUAAAUGAACUAAAAAGACAAAGGACAAUGGAGCGAAGAUCUAAAAAUAAAUCUCCAUGGUCUUUAUUAAAAAUAUGAUCUCUGUAAAUAUUUAAGGGAAAUAACUAUGUAGAUAUAAUAAUAUGAUUGGACUCUGUUGUAAAUAGUUAUUUUUGUAUAUUUCAAAGUUUGUAAUGUUGAAGAAUUACUGUAACAAAUUGUGAAAUAUUUAAACUGUGUAAAUGUUCAAGAGUUAUUGUGAUAAUUGCGAAUGUUGAAGAUUUAUUG